GACGAACGCUGGCGGUGUGCUUCACACAUGCAAGUCGAACGGGGUAGCAAUACCCAGUGGCGGACGGGUGAGUAACGCGUAGAAAUCUGCCUUGAGAUGGGGGAUAACAGUCCGAAAGGACUGCUAAUACCGCAUAUGUAUGUAUCUCGACAGAGGUGUAUAUGAAAGGAGUAAUCCGUCUUAAGAUGAGUCUGCGUCCGAUUAGCUAGUUGGUAGGGUAAAGGCCUACCAAGGCGACGAUCGGUAGCUGGUCUGAGAGGAUGAUCAGCCACAAUGGGACUGAGACACGGCCCAUACUCCUACGGGAGGCAGCAGUGGGGAAUUUUGUGCAAUGGGGGAAACCCUGACACAGCGACACCGCGUGAGCGAAGAAGCCCUUUGGGGGUGUAAGGCUCUGUCGGCUGGAAACGAAAAA
rnacentral:rRNA from 1 species